rnacentral:misc_RNA from 1 species
AUUUGAAUGAAUACCUUUUCUCCCUUUUUAUAUUUUAUUUAUCUAAGAAGAAAGAAAUGAGUGGUCCUCAGUCGCUGAGGCUGAGUCCAGUGAGAAACAAAAUAAAACAUAAGAGAAGAGGAAGAGCAGUUUACGGUGUAAACGAAAGAUGAGAGAUCAGACAGAUAUUCAAAGGAAAGGAUUAUGAUUCUGAGGAGUGAUACUGUUUCCAUCGUUUCCAGAUCACUCACAGUUGGAUUUUCUCUUUUACUAGUAUACUGCGUUUUCCCAUUUUCUCUUGUCGCUUUUUCCCAGUUGGAUCACUCACAGUUUGUUUAUUUCAUCUCCAGGAUUGAAUUCUAGAAACAGAUGUUUCUGGUGGUUUGAUCAUUCGCACACUGAAAAUAAAGGUUAGCACCCAGUAUGAAAAGCAGCUGCAGCCUACGUAUGGAACGAAUUUCUGAUUUUUCUGACUGGCGCGUCUAGAAUCACCAGGUUUAAAUAAAUCAUUACCAAGUUUUAUCAAUAAUGAAAUCAACCUCUUCG